GCCGUAGCUCAGGGGCAGAGCAUCUGCUAUGCAGAUAGAAGGUCCCAGGUCCAUUCCUUGGCAUCUCCU